GAACCGGGGAUUGGCCGCCGGGCGCACGCUCCGCCCUAAUGCGAAGAGGUCUGGGAAGUCGGUCUUCCUAGAGCAACAGAUUUCGUUAUAGCCCUCUUGCGGCUUGUGUCUACUACCCUCCACCUUUCUGUUCCUGCUAUAAGGUUAUGCACUUGCUUCCGGACCUUGAGGGGGACGAAAGCAGGGCAACAACAGGGAAGGAGAAAGGGGAUGCCUGAGGGAUCUUUGUCUGAGGUACAGGCUCUAACCCUGCAGGACUCUUGUGGCCUGUAGCCUGCUCUUAACCCGUUCAUUUGUUUUUCUGUUCUCUCCCCCAUACUCUCUUUGCUCAGUAUCUCUCUGGACUUAACGAAAGGAAGUAAUAAGAUGAAGUAUGCAUACGGGUGCUGGGUCAUCAUGUGUGAACCAGGAAGAGCUGAAAACCGAGAUAAUGAUACUAGAAAGCUUUCUGUAGGCACAUUUCGUCUUUGGUUCUGUCAGCACUUCGGUUCUGUGGGGCAGUGGCCAGAAGAGCGUCUUCGGGGCUUAACAAAACCUAUCUCCCCUUUGGCUGGGCUCUGAAUGAGGAAGUUGUCUUUGGAAUAGGGGGAGGAGACUGCCACCUGUUGAAGCAACCCCAUAAUAGUCAGGAGGUGAGGGUAAGGUAUCGGCUUUACUGGCGUUAACCAUUAUCUACAAGACCAAGUUCCAGAAUAGGAAAGCUAUCCUGCUUCCUUUAAAUGCCCUAUCCAAGCGGUUCUUUAGUACUCUACAGCAUGGUUGUUAGAGUAUGGGCUCUAAAAUCAGACUGCCUGGGCUGGCAUCUUGGUCCCUCCACCUAUUGGCAAGUUACUUAGAAUGCCUGAGACAAAUAGUAAACAAUGUACAUUAUUGUUGUUAUUUUUUCUUUAAUUUACUUACGUUCAGCUGUAGUGUAGUUUCUCAGGACAUAGCAUCAAUAUAUCCAAAAGAAUUGUGAAACAUAAAGCACAUGUAGUGAUUCUAAUACAGAUGUCUUAUUUUUCAGAUGAGAAAACUAAAGCCAGAAAGAUAAACUGAUAGGUCCAUGCUAGAAGAGAAGUGCAGCUACCCUGCUGUCCAGGUUAUUGCUCUUUCCCUGACUCAUGGGUCCAGACUUCUCUCCCUUACAUCCUUACCUCCAUCCUCUACUCCUCCCCAACUUGUAUACAGUUGCUCAGCCUCCUCCCCCUCCACCUUUCCACAAUAUCUUUCCACCCAUUGUAAAACAUGGAAGGGAGACCCUCUCAGAGGUCAGUGUUCCAAAUAGAAACCAAAACUCACAACUACUUUUCUCAUUUUAAUUUUAUUAAAAGUUAUAAUGAAUAAAGAAUAACACUUUUUUUCCAUUGAGCAAAGAUUAGAACUCUUUCCUAAGAUAAGGUCAGCCACAGCCUUAUCCAGGAAAAUUACUUGCUGGAAACAAUACUGGACCAAAUCAGCCCUGCUCCCACCCUGCCUUUCUUUGAAAAUAGCUUUUUUUUUUUUCUUUUUUUAAAGAGAUAUGGUCUUUCUGUGUCGCCCAGGCUGGAGUGCAGUGGCUAAUCACAGAUGUGAUCAUGCACACAACAGUCUCGAGCAACUGGGCUGAGGGCUGAAGCAAUCUUCCUACAUUAGCCUCCCCAGUAGUUGGGAUUACAGGCACAGGCUGUGGCACCCAGCUAAUAACUAUUGUUUUAUAAAAACACUACGUGCUUGUGCAAACAAAUUGAAAAAUUUUAAACAAAAAUGCAAAGAAGUUAAAAUCUGUCCAAAUCCCAUAAUAUAGAGAUAACCAUUUCUUAAAUUUUAUGUUACAUUCUUCUAGGCAUCUCUCUAAGAAUAGAAGCACAUAUAGACAUAUAAAUACAAUAUUUCAUAAAUUGGAUCUUAUUAUCUGCACAGUGAACAAUAGUCAUGAAAAACAUCAUUUUUAAAAGUUGCAUAGUGUCUGUUAAAUGGAUAUACUGUCAUUUAUCCAACCAGUAUUCUAUUGAUUGACAUUUAUGUUUCCAAGUUUUUACUAUCAUAAAAAAGUCUCUGAUGAACAUUCUUAUCCACAGGCUGUUGCACAAUUGUGCAAUUAUCUCCUUGGACACAUUCCUAGAAGUAACACUAAUGUCAGCCAAUUCUUUAACAUUUUCAAUUAGAGAAUAAAAGUUGUGGUUACUUUGAAAAAUAUACUUUAUAUGUGGGACUCAAAACUGACCAGAUUCUCCCAUUUGAAACAUAUUUGAAACACAGGUAAACCUGAGUAUUGUUGUUUUUCUUGUGUCUAGUGUUUAAUAAUGCAUGUUAAAGCUCCUUAGAGUAGGUCGGUAGACAUUACUGGUUGUCUAAGCCAAUAUCCUUUCUUCUUUACUAGUAGAACUCUGAUUUCUUCAGGGUGACAGCAUGUCCAGUUAAAAAUAUUCAUGCUCCUAGACUUUCUUAAGUCAUGGCUGGCCAUGUGACUAUCAAUUAAAUAAAAGUGAAUUUCUGUAGAGGAGGCUCAAUAAAUAUUGCUUUAGCCAUUUGAUCUGCACCCACCCCUUUUAUUUUUUUGAACCUGAAACAGGGACAUGAUACUGGAGGUAGAGCAGACAUAUUUCACCCAUAAUAACAAAAGCCACACUGACACUAUUAAUAAUGUAGGACACCGGAGGUGCCUAGGUCCGUGGUUGCUUUGGAGGGCCAAACUGACCAGCUCUGGACUGUCCCACUUCUGGAUUUGUUGUUAGGAUUACUUGUUGGGGCCAGGUAGCUGUCAUGUCAGAGUCAUAAAGUCACUCAGGCAACUUAUAAAAAGGCUCACAUGGUGAGUAAUUAAGGCUUCCAGCUAACAAUCAGUGAGGUAUUGAGGCCUUCUGACAAUAGCCAUGUGAAUGAGCUUGGAAGCAGAUCCUCCAACCCCAGUCAGGCCUUCAUAUGAUUGCAUGCAUCCUGGUCAACAUCUUGACUGUAACCUAGAAGGAGACCUUGAGACAUAAUCAUUCAGCUACGGUGCUCCUGAAUUCCUAAGCCACAGAAAUGAGAAAUGAAGUGUGAAUCUUACUGAGAGCUAAACUUCGCCAGUUGUGGAAGUAACAUGGUGAACAGAAUGGAAUCCUGGAAACUUGAAUUCUGCCCCCAGUUGUUUUUCCUCAAUCAAAAAUGUUUUAAAAAUUAAUGAGUUAACACAAAAUUAAACCAUGUCUCGAAACCAGACAGCCAUCUUGUCUGCCAUCUCCAAGCAAAUUACAGAUUGACUCAUAAUACAAAUUUGCCCACAGGGCUUGCAAUACUAUUUCACAAGCUAUUCAACUGUGAGCCCAAAUCAGUUGAAACUACUGGCCUAAUUAGAUAUCAGACUGUUUGUUGUUGUGGAUGAUCCCUGAAUAAGAAAAAGAAGAAUUCUAGAGGGAAGAAAGGGACAGAGCUUCACGUACCUCAUUUCCUAUGUUAAAUUAGGAAAGUUUACAGAGACGAAAGGACCUGUGCGUCAUCAUCAAGAGGACCAACAUAUGUGUUAUGGGAAUUUUAGAUGACAAAGAGAGGGGCAGAACUAAUAUUUGAAAAAUUAUAGCCAGAAACUUCCAAAAUUUUAUUAAAUAUACUAACCUACAAAUCCAGAAAACUGAGUGAACUCCAAGUUGGAUAAACUCAAAAAGACCCCACACUAAGACAUUCUAACCAACCCAUCAAAAGCCAAAGGUAGAGAAUCUUGAACGCAGCAAACAAGAAAGAAGUAACUCAUCACGUACAAGGAAUCCUCAUUAAAAUUAAAGGCCAGUUUCUUAUCAGAAAACAUGGAAGCCAGAAGACAGUGGAGUGACAUACUUAAGUGGGUGGAAGAAAAUGAAACCUAUUAACUGAAAUUUUAUAUCUAGCAAAACUGUCCUUCAAAAUGAUGGAAAAGUUAGGAUAUAUUCUGAUAAACAAAAGCUGAGUCCAACAAGAAAUGCAAAGGAAGUCUUUCAAGUUGAAAUGAAAAGACACUAGCCAGUAAUUCAAAGCCACGUGAGGAAAAUAAUGGCCUACAGUAAAGGUAGGGCAAAUAUAAAAACAAGUGCUAUUUAAUUUUUGUUUGUAACUCUACCAUUUAUUUUUAAUACGAUUUAACAUACACAUAUGUAAAAAUAAUAAAUCUCCUGUUGGGGACACAAUGUUAAAGAUGUAAAAAGACAUUAACAACAUAAAGGGGGAAGAUAAAGAUGUGCAGUAGUAUAGUUUUUGAAUGUUUUUGAAGUUAAGUUGGUAUCAAUUCAAAACAUAUUACCUUAAAUUUAGAGCAUUAAAUGUAAUUGCUAUGGUAACCACAAAGAAAAUAUCUAAAAGAUCUAUAGGAAAUGAGAUAUAUAGGAAAAGAUAGAAAAACAAGAAAAGAAUCAAAAUGGUUCACUACAGAAAAAUCAACUAAACAUAAAAGAAGGCAAUAAUGGAGAAAAUGAGAGAGGAAAAAAGUAUAAGACAUACAGAAAACAAGUAUCAAAAUGGCAGAAGUACUUCAUUAGGAGUACUAUUUUAAAUAUAAAUGGAUUAAACUAUUCACUCAAAGGCAGAGAUUGGCAGAAUGGAUAAAUGCUGUCUGUAAUAGAGUCACUUUAGAUUUAAAGACACAAAUAAGUAGAAAGUGAAAGAGUAGAAAAGAUAUUACAUCCAAAUAGAACCAAAAGAGAGCUGAGGAGGCUAUACUAAUAUUAGGUAAAAAAAACUUCAAGUCAAAAUCUGUUAUAAUGACAAAGAAGGACAUUAUAUAUUGAUAUGUAGAUAAAUAUGUAUAUCAUCAAAAAGUUAUAAUCAUAAACAUAUAUGCACCAAACAACAGAGACCCAAAAUAUUUCAAGCAAAUAUUGACAGAAUUAAAGGGAAACAAAUAGUUGUACAAUAAUAGUUGGAGACUCCAAUAUCUUACUUUCAAAAAUGAAUAGAAUAUCUAGACAGAAGAUAAGUCACAAAAUAAAAGACUUGAAUAAGCCAACUAGACCAAACAUGAGUAUAUAGAACAUUUUACCCAAUAACAGCAGAAUAUGUAUAGAUUACAUGUUAAGCCACAAAACAAGUGAAUAAAUUUUAAAAAGUUGAAGUCAUACACAGUAUCUUUUCUGACAAAGUAGAAUGAAGCUACAAAUCAAAAUCAAAGGAAAACUGCAAAAUCCACAAAUAUAUGGAAAUUAAACUACACACUACCAAACACUCAUUGGUCAAAGAAGAAACUACAAGAAAAAUUAGAAAAUAAUGAAAAUGAAAACAAACAUAUUAAAACAUAAGAUUUGUUUGUUUAUUUUGAGAUGGACUCCUGCUCUG